rnacentral:rRNA from 1 species
GAGCAUGUGGUUUAAUUCGAUGCAACGCGAAGAACCUUACCUGGUCUUGACAUCCACAGAACUUUCCAGAGAUGGAUUGGUGCCUUCGGGAACUGUGAGACAGGUGCUGCAUGGCUGUCGUCAGCUCGUGUUGUGAAAUGUUGGGUUAAGUCCCGCAACGAGCGCAACCCUUAUCCUUUGUUGCCAGCGGUCCGGCCGGGAACUCAAAGGAGACUGCCAGUGAUAAACUGGAGGAAGGUGGGGAUGACGUCAAGUCAUCAUGGCCCUUACGACCAGGGCUACACACGUGCUACAAUGGCAUAUACAAAGAGAAGCGACCUCGCGAGAGCAAGCGGACCUCAUAAAGUAUGUCGUAGUCCGGAUUGGAGUCUGCAACUCGACUCCAUGAAGUCGGAAUCGCUAGUAAUCGUAGAUCAGAAUGCUACGGUGAAUACGUUCCCGGGCCUUGUACACACCGCCCGUCACACCAUGGGAGUGGGUUGCAAAAGAAGUAGGUAGCUUAACCUUCGGGAGGGCGCUUACCACUUUGUGAUUCAUGACUGGGGUGAAGUCGUAACAAGGUAACCGUAGGGGAACCUGCGGUUGGAUCACCUCCUUACCUUAAAGAA